rnacentral:rRNA from 1 species
GCGGAAGGAUCAUUACUGAUGUCCUAACUCUUGAAGUUGUUGCUGGCCUCUAGAGGCAUGUGCACGCUUCAUCAGUUCUUCAACCCAUUCAUCACCUGUGCACCAAUGUGUAGGCUAUAAGGAAUCUAUCAAGGAAACUUGGAUGGUGGACGUUGCAACAGCGCUGCCCCCCUAUUUCAAUAUAGGGGUUAGGGGCUAGGGGCUUAGCUCUGUCUCACACAUUUCCUUGCCUAUGCCUUCUAUACACACACUCUCUUUGUAUGUUCAGAAUGUAAUGUUGGAUAAUGAUAAACUUGUACAACUUUCAACAACGGAUCUCUUGGCUCUCGCAUCGAUGAAGAACGCAGCGAAAUGCGAUAAGUAAUGUGAAUUGCAGAAUUCAGUGAAUCAUCGAAUCUUUGAACGCACCUUGCGUCCCUUGGUAUUCUGAGGGGCAUGCCUGUUUGAGUGUCAUUAUAAUCAAUCAACCCUCUUUGACUUCUCCAUGUUGAAGUGGGCUUGGAUAUGUGGGGGCUUUGCUGGCUUUGCUCUGUUCAGAGGUAAGGUCAGCUCCUCUUAAAUGCAUUAGCAGAACCUUAUGUGGUGGUUUGCAAGAUGGGCAUGAUAAAUUAUCAGUGUCCAAAUCUUUUGUAGCCAUGGAAAAAAGGGGGUUCAGCUUCCAAUAGUCCUUGGACAAACUUGUUGACGAUUUGACCUCAAAUCAGGUAGGAUUACCCGCUGAACUUAAGCAUAUCAAUA